rnacentral:rRNA from 1 species
UACGGAGGGGGCUAGCGUUGUUCGGAAUUACUGGGCGUAAAGCGCGCGUAGGCGGCUUUGUAAGUUAGAGGUGAAAGCCCGGAGCUCAACUCCGGAACUGCCUUUAAGACUGCAUCGCUAGAAUCAUGGAGAGGUGAGUGGAAUUCCGAGUGUAGAGGUGAAAUUCGUAGAUAUUCGGAAGAACACCAGUGGCGAAGGCGACUCACUGGACAUGUAUUGACGCUGAGGUGCGAAAAGCGUGGGGAGCAAACAGGG